rnacentral:rRNA from 1 species
GAUGAACGCUGGCGGCGUGCCUAAUACAUGCAAGUCGAGCGAACAGACGAGGAGCUUGCUCCUCUGACGUUAGCGGCGGCCGGGUGAGUAACACGUGGAUAACCUACCUAUAAGACUGGGAUAACUUCGGGAAACCGGAGCUAAUACCGGAUAAUAUAUUGAACCGCAUGGUUCAAUAGUGAAAGACGGUUUUGCUGUAACUUAUAGAUGGAUCCGCGCCGCAUUAGCUAGUUGGUAAGGUAACGGCUUACCAAGGCAACGAUGCGUAGCCGACCUGAGAGGGUGAUCGGCCACACUGGAACUGAGACACGGUCCAGACUCCUACGGGAGGCAGCAGUAGGGAAUCUUCCGCAAUGGGCGAAAGCCUGACGGAGCAACGCCGCGUGAGUGAUGAAGGUCUUCGGAUCGUAAAACUCUGUUAUUAGGGAAGAACAAAUGUGUAAGUAACUAUGCACGUCUUGACGGUACCUAAUCAGAAAGCCACGGCUAACUACGUG